UUCAUAUAUAAUUUAAUGUGAAAUUGAACAUGUACUAUCCAACAUCUAUUAACAGAAAUAACAGACCUUUAAACACUUUAAACCUAUAAACACUUAAGACUGAUAAGCCACUGUCUCACUUCAGAAAUACCACACUGAAUAACAGAUUUGAGUACAAACACCAUCAAGCCCAACUUACAGAAAAGCACAGAUGACUCUCCAAACAGGACUAAGAACACAAAGGUCGUCAUACAACUCCCAGAAACAUGGAGGCCUCCUACAGUAGGCCACAUAAUGUCCAAGAGCAUCCUGGGUUAAGCCUCCUUUGAAAGCAAUGACUGCCCUUAAGGUAAAUCUCUUUCCUUGGAGCAUCAGAUUGGAAGGAAAUUCACACAAAGGAAAUUCUGUGGAGUUGCUUCUUUCCAGAGGGACACUGUGUUGGAUUUUGGAUUGGCCUGAGGCAGGGGGAUUCUGGAUGGUUAAGGCCUUCUUCCACUGCGGUCUGAAGAUGAGCCAUACCAGAAGCCUGCAGUACAGCAACAGAAGUAGAAACAAAUGGAAUUUCCCUUG